AAUGAAGAAUACUAUGCCUUCUUCAAAUUGUCAUGAAAUUCGUAUAAAAAAGUCUGAAUUAAUGAGCUUUUGCUACAUUUGAACACAAGCUGAGGACUGAUAUCAGAUAAUCUUAAGAUUCUGAACCCAUAGCAAUUAUGCUUGUAUCUUCAGUGGUGUCAUCCUGAAUUAAACAUUGGCAAGCUUUAUUGAGGAUACCUCAGCAGAAUUCUUAAUUUGGAGAGACUAUCAAAUAAGGUUCUUGAAGAUAAAGAAGUCACUUUGGGCUGAGGGAGAAAUACAGCAUUUCCCUGAGAAACAGAAGUGUUUGAGAUUCUCUUGGAGGGCCUGGAAAGCACGUCAGACACAUGCCCGCCUGUAGAGCAUUUCCUGCCUAAUUUUAUGGUGCCAAGGGACCACGGUAGAGUCCAAAACAUCCUUAAGAUAUUGUUGAAAUUUGAAAAGAAAAUGUUUUGUUGUUAAAUCCGUUACCACCUCUGGAGAGUUCAACAUAUUAAUCAUGAUACAGAAGAAAACUCUUCACGCAGGUUCCUGAAGAUCUCGAUUACCUGACCAUGUCUUGACUUGUUUUUUGGGUCUCAUGGAGGACAUCACCUUAUAUUUAGUCAUCGUAUCUCCAUAAAGUUUCCUUAGGAACAGAGUUUUCUCAGCCUUUCCUUGUUGCUGAUGACAGUGAUAAUCUGAGGAGCGCUGGUCAGGGUGCUUUUAUGAGGUGGACCUUAGAUGAAAAAAGAAAAAGUGCUUUGCAACUCAUAAGCAGAGGAAGCAGAGGCAAAGGCUCCAGACCACAGUGUUCCUGUCUCCAACAGAGCCAGUGUAACUGCAGACUGCGGUGUGCUCCAGGAUUUCAUGCACAAAAGGGAUAUGGCAAGGACAGAAGGCAGAAUCUCGGAGAAUGGGAGCUAGCUCUAAACCAUGCAAAUACAACACAUUUUGUGAUCCCGUGUGUGAGCCCUUUAUAGAGACAAAAGGAAGCAAAGUCCUGAGGCUGAUGUCUACAUUGUUAGAAUGAAUAGAUUAUUCAUUCCAAAUACCUAGAGGGUUGACACAACACCAAGGAAAUUUGCUUUUUCUGGUAAAAUCAGAAAUCACUGAUUUUCUUCAAUUCUCAUCUCAUUUUUCAUGGAGGCCAAGCGCUAUGGAUGGGGCCCAGGGCUUCAUUGUGAUGGACAGAGUCUCUAUGAAGUCAUUCUCAACAUUGCUACUAUCUGUGUGAUCAGACUGGUUCCUUCACUUUUAGAGACCACCUUGCCUUCGGAAAAUGAGGGUUUACCCCAGGGAGUCUCUGGCAUCCUUUCGAGCCUUUAGAAUCUGUCACACCAGGACUGGAUGUGUAGCUCGGCACCUACGAAGGAUGCACCAGGUCCGGGGUUAUAUCUCUAGCACAGAGAAAAAAAGCCAUCACGUUUAGGACCAUUUUGAUUACUAUCUUUCUUUGUAAUAUAUUAGGAAUUUUUGCUAAAUGAGAAUUGAACAGAACUAUGACAUGCCCCUUUUGAAUCUUGCAAGAUAUGUCAAAUGGGAUACAGAGUUUAUAGCGGCUGGUGCUGUGUUUGACAUUAACAAUCAGAGUAACAAUAAACCCUACCACAGAGGCUGUAAAA